GAUGUCUGAGGAAGUAACAUCAAUUCUUGUAGCAGCGGGUACAAAAGAAUCAUUAUCGACUGUUCCUCAAGAAAUAAUACUACAACAAUGCAAUUCUCAAUAAUAAUAUUUCAGAAGUUCUUGAGUAUUUUCUCACUCGAGAUUCCAUCUGCUACAAGAAUUGAUGUUACUUCCUCAGACAUCUGUUUCUGCCCACAAAGCACAACGCCGGUGGCCAAGGGACUAUCAAUUUUCUUGGCCCUGGAAAAAGCAGCCUGUACAUAGCCGGUUUCACCAGUCCAACUAUCAUCUGGCUGUGAUAGUACUGGUACAAUCCUAACACCAGAAGAUUCCCAAUCCUUAAACCUUUCCUGGUAAGCCAUUCUCUUGAGGUUUCUCGCCCCAUAAUACAGUCUCACAUCAGAUCUUCUGUCAGCACUAAACCCAGACUCGAUGAGAGAUCGAAUUGGACUGAUUCCAGAUCCAGUGCCGAAAAUCAGAACCGUAGGAUACUUCUCCGGCGGCGCGAUGCGAUCUAUAUCAAAACCGUUCCCCAUGACUUGGCUCAAUUCCACUACAUCUCCUUCCUUAAGACCGCACAACAGCUCAGCAGUCGAGCCGGCCACGCUCUUCACUAAGAAUUCAAAGGCGCCUUUCGCUGCAGCAUAAGACGGCGGUGACGCGAUAGCAAGGAAAGACGGCUUCUCAACGUCGGGGAUGCGAAGCUGGAGGUACUGGCCAGGUCGAGUGUGGGACGUAGCGAGGUCGGGAGAGUCAGAAACGUCGAUAGUAACGUUGAAGAGGGACUCAGCAGCAGGUUCGAUCUGGGAGAGAGGCGAAGAGGGGCUUGGGACCAGAGAGUGGCGUCUUGUCGAACAGCGGCGGCAGCGACUGAGGUAAAGCUCCGUCUGUUGUUGAGGUUGAGGCGUAAGGCUAGGCGGCGUAGGAUAUACAUGGGGAGAAGGGGGAGGAUAGAGUGGACAUGGGGGAGAUGAAGAGGAGACGGACAUUGUUUCGCGAGUAUUUGAGAAGCCGGAGCUGCUUGUUGCG
rnacentral:misc_RNA from 1 species